rnacentral:lncRNA from 1 species
UGUCCUGGGCAUGCAACAUUUUCUGAAUGGUUCAGAGUUACUGUUUCUCUACUUCAUACUAGAUGAUACUAUUGUUAUUAACUGGUAUGGGGUGUCCAUCCGAAAUCGUCAGGUGAACGAUGACAGGCGUCAGACCUUACCGCGUUUGCGAGUAACGACGAAUAAUGAGGUGAUACUCGGUGAAUCUGAAACUACAGUCUUAACAACCUUAAGCUUCUAUUUAUUUAAUAUAAAAGUCGAUAAGAGAGUCCUUUACAAAAGAGUUCCCAACAGUGAAAGGUGGAAAUACCUGAAGUAAGAGUCCAAAUAAAAAUUCCGGUUCACGAUGUAGAGAUGUCACAAAAGGGUGUCUUGCUGGACACAUAGGGAGAACGUAUGAAGAAACGAG